CGGCGUAGCUCAGUGGCAGAGCAGCUGAUUUGUAAUCAGCGGGUCGGGGGUUCAAAUCCCUUCGCCG
rnacentral:tRNA from 1 species